rnacentral:rRNA from 1 species
ACGGGAGGGCAGCAGUGGGAAUAUUGCACAAUGGGCGCAAGCCUGAUGCAGCGAUGCCGCGUGAGGGAAGAAGGUUUUCGGAUUGUAAACCUCUGUCAUCGGGGACGAUAAUGACUGUACCCGAGAAGGAAGCUCCGGCUAACUACGUGCCAGCAGCCGCGGUAAUACGUAGGGAGCGAGCGUUAUCCGGAAUUACUGGGUGUAAAGGGAGUGUAGGCGGGACUGUAAGUCAGAUGUGAAAUAUACCGGCUCAACUGGUAGACUGCAUUUGAAACUGCGGUUCUUGAGUGAAGUAGAGGUAAGCGGAAUUCCUAGUGUAGCGGUGAAAUGCGUAGAUAUUAGGAGGAACAUCAGUGGCGAAGGCGGCUUACUGGGCUUUAACUGACGCUGAGGCUCGAAAGCGUGGGGAGCAAACAGGAUUAGAUACCCUGGUA